rnacentral:rRNA from 1 species
GAUGAACGCUAGCUACAGGCUUAACACAUGCAAGUCGAGGGGCAGCAUAAAUCUAGCAAUAGAUUUGAUGGCGACCGGCGCACGGGUGAGUAACACGUAUCCAACCUACCUAUUACUCGGGUAUAGCCUUUCGAAAGAAAGGUUAAUCCCCGAUACGAUAUUGAGUUCGCAUGAAUUUAAUAUGAAAGAUUUAUUGGUAUUAGAUGGGGAUGCGUUCCAUUAGAUAGUUGGUGAGGUAACGGCUCACCAAGUCUUCGAUGGAUAGGGGUUCUGAGAGGAAGGUCCCCCACACUGGAACUGAGACACGGUCCAGACUCCUACGGGAGGCAGCAGUGAGGAAUAUUGGUCAAUGGGCGAGAGCCUGAACCAGCCAAGUAGCGUGAGGGACGACUGCCCUAUGGGUUGUAAACCUCUUUUAUAAGGGAAUAAAACGCUCCACGUGUGGAGCUUUGCAUGUACCUUUUGAAUAAGGAUCGGCUAACUCCGUGCCAGCCGCCGCAGUAA